CCUACGGGAGGCAGCAGUGGGGAAUAUUGGGCAAUGGAGGAAACUCUGACCCAGCGACGCCGCGUGCGGGAUGAAGGCCUUCGGGUUGUAAACCGCUUUCAGUAGGGAAGAAGCGAAAGUGACGGUACCUACAGAAGAAGCACCGGCUAACUAUGUGCCAGCAGCCGCGGUAAUACAUAGGGUGCAAGCGUUGUCCGGAAUUAUUGGGCGUAAAGAGCUCGUAGGUGGUUCGUCACGUCGGAUGUGAAAAUCUGGGGCUCAACCCCAGACCUGCAUUCGAUACGGGCGAUCUAGAGUGUGGUAGGGGAGACUGGAAUUCCUGGUGUAGCGGUGGAAUGCGCAGAUAUCAGGAGGAACACCAAUGGCGAAGGCAGGUCUCUGGGCCAUUACUGACACUGAGGAGCGAAAGCGUGGGGAGCGAACAGGAUUAGAUACCCUGGUAGUCCACGCCGUAAACGGUGGGCACUAGUUGUGGGAACCUUCCACGGUUUCUGCGACGCNGCUACGCAUAAGUAGCCCGCCGUCGGGAGGUACGAGUCGCGAAGAAGUUAAACGUAACUAAAGUAGUAAGUUAGUUACGGUCGUUGAGACGUUGCCGACGGCGACGACGAGGGAGGAGG
rnacentral:rRNA from 1 species